rnacentral:pre_miRNA from 1 species
UUUAAUUUUAGACUUUUCAUCUUAUUUAAAUUUUUUUUGAUUGAUAUUUUUGUUUUUAUUAGAUGAUAAAUCAUGAAUAUUACUUUACGUGUGACUAAUUUUUUUCUAAUUUCCUGAAAAAUUUUUAAAUAAGAUAGAUGUUUAAACGUUGGACACGAGAACU